CCUACGGGGGGCAGCAGUGAGGAAUAUUGGUCAAUGGACGAGAGUCUGAACCAGCCAAGUAGCGUGAAGGAUGACUGCCCUAUGGGUUGUAAACUUCUUUUAUAUGGGAAUAAAACGUUCCACGUGUGGGAUUUUGUAUGUACCAUAUGAAUAAGGAUCGGCUAACUCCGUGCCAGCAGCCGCGGUAAUACGGAGGAUCCGAGCGUUAUCCGGAUUUAUUGGGUUUAAAGGGAGCGUAGGUGGAUUGUUAAGUCAGUUGUGAAAGUUUGCGGCUCAACCGUAAAAUUGCAGUUGAAACUGGCAGUCGUGAGUACAGUAGAGGUGGGCGGAAUGCGUGGUGUAGCGGUGAAAUGCUUAGAUAUCACGAAGAACUCCGAUUGCGAAGGCAGCUCACUGGACUGCAACUGACACUGAGGCUCGAAAGUGUGGGUAUCAAACAGGAUUAGAUACCCUUGUAGUC
rnacentral:rRNA from 1 species